rnacentral:tRNA from 1 species
GUGCCCGUAGCUCAGUGGCUAGGGUGCCAGUCAUAUACACAGGAGCCGGCAGGUUCAAACCCAGCCCGGGCCCA